GGCCGCCAUGUUUUCAUCCAACAUCAGGACACCAAAGAACAUGGACAGCCACUUAACAUUUCUGUUUGGAAGAUACCAAGAAACUGGGGAGAGUUAGUCCUGAUAAGGUCCCAGAGAUGAGGUCUGGGGAAGAAGCACUGCUAUCUUGAGAGGAAGACACCGAAGACAACAGAGAAAGGGGGAAAAAUACAGAGUGACCUUGGGCUCCUCCCCUAGACUCACGCUUCUGGGUUCCAGCUGGAUUCUCAAGAUAAAAAUAACAUGGGAGAAUGUCAGUCAGUUCUCACCCAUUCACCAGGAGUCAGCCAGAAAUGAACCUGCCAGGAGGCAAAAACCCAGACAAAAGCUGCAGAUCCAAACUUCCGGCCUCUCCCAAGUGUUUUGCAUUAACUGUUCCACAGUACAAAUACAAUCAACUUGGUAUGUUUGUUUCAUUUUGUUUUUUUCAAAAAUGUUUUAAAAUAAUCAGCCAUGCUAAACACAUUGUUGUUUUUCUAAAGGUCACUUUAUAAAAAUGACGAUAGAACCAUGGAAAUAAAACUCAACUGUUUAGGAAAA